rnacentral:rRNA from 1 species
UACGUAGGGGGCGAGCGUUGUCCGGAUUUAUUGGGCGUAAAGAGCGUGUAGGCGGUUCGGUAAGUCUGUCGUGAAAUCCUGAGGCUCAACCUCGGACGUGCGAUGGAUACUGCCGGGCUAGAGGAUGGUAGAGGCGAGUGGAAUUCCCGGUGUAGCGGUGAAAUGCGCAGAUAUCGGGAGGAACACCAGUAGCGAAGGCGGCUCGCUGGGCCAGUUCCUGGACGCUGAGACGCGAAAGCUAGGGGAGCGAACAGG